GAGCUGAUCCUGUGGAUCCAGUCAAUCCAGCAGCAUGGAUCAGUGGGAGGAGACACAGGAGGGAGCCCCUCCCCCUAAAAGCACUCUGUGUGGGGAGAGUGAGAGCCAGAGCAAAGCUCAGAGUCUUCACAGGAACAAACCUGGACCUGGAUCUGGAUCUGGACCUAGCUGGGAGUCUUCUGAAAGUGAUAGCUCUGAGGAAUAUUUAACUGAAUUACAAAACAGCCGUUCAAGAGUGGAAGGGAUUCGACGGAGCUUUAGAUCUGGAUCCAGCUGGAUGUCUCAAAGAAGUGACGAGUCAAAGAAUUUACCUCUUGUUUUCAAAGACAUCA